GAUGAACGCUGGCGGCGUGCCUAAUACAUGCAAGUCGAGCGAACGGACGAGAAGCUUGCUUCUCUGAUGUUAGCGGCGGACGGGUGAGUAACACGUGGAUAACCUACCUAUAAGACUGGGAUAACUUCGGGAAACCGGAGCUAAUACCGGAUAAUAUUUUGAACCGCAUGGUUCAAAAGUGAAAGACGGUCUUGCUGUCACUUAUAGAUGGAUCCGCGCUGCAUUAGCUAGUUGGUAAGGUAACGGCUUACCAAGGCAACGAUGCAUAGCCGACCUGAGAGGGUGAUCGGCCACACUGGAACUGAGACACGGUCCAGACUCCUACGGGAGGCAGCAGUAGGGAAUCUUCCGCAAUGGGCGAAAGCCUGACGGAGCAACGCCGCGUGAGUGAUGAAGGUCUUCGGAUCGUAAAACUCUGUUAUUAGGGAAGAACAUAUGUGUAAGUAACUGUGCACAUCUUGACGGUACCUAAUCAGAAAGCCACGGCUAACUACGUGCCAGCAGCCGCGGUAAUACGUAGGUGGCAAGCGUUAUCCGGAAUUAUUGGGCGUAAAGCGCGCGUAGGCGGUUUUUUAAGUCUGAUGUGAAAGCCCACGGCUCAACCGUGGAGGGUCAUUGGAAACUGGAAAACUUGAGUGCAGAAGAGGAAAGUGGAAUUCCAUGUGUAGCGGUGAAAUGCGCAGAGAUAUGGAGGAACACCAGUGGCGAAGGCGACUUUCUGGUCUGUAACUGACGCUGAUGUGCGAAAGCGUGGGGAUCAAACGGGAUUAGAUACCCUGGUAGUCCACGCCGUAAACGAUGAGUGCUAAGUGUUAGGGGGUUUCCGCCCCUUAGUGCUGCAGCUAACGCAUUAAGCACUCCGCCUGGGGAGUACGACCGCAAGGUUGAAACUCAAAGGAAUUGACGGGGACCCGCACAAGCGGUGGAGCAUGUGGUUUAAUUCGAAGCAACGCGAAGAACCUUACCAAAUCUUGACAUCCUUUGACAACUCUAGAGAUAGAGCUUUCCCCUUCGGGGGACAAAGUGACAGGUGGUGCAUGGUUGUCGUCAGCUCGUGUCGUGAGAUGUUGGGUUAAGUCCCGCAACGAGCGCAACCCUUAAGCUUAGUUGCCAUCAUUAAGUUGGGCACUCUAAGUUGACUGCCGGUGACAAACCGGAGGAAGGUGGGGAUGACGUCAAAUCAUCAUGCCCCUUAUGAUUUGGGCUACACACGUGCUACAAUGGACAAUACAAAGGGCAGCGAAACCGUGAGGUCAAGCAAAUCCCAUAAAGUUGUUCUCAGUUCGGAUUGUAGUCUGCAACUCGACUACAUGAAGCUGGAAUCGCUAGUAAUCGUAGAUCAGCAUGCUACGGUGAAUACGUUCCCGGGUCU
rnacentral:rRNA from 1 species